CCAGACUCCUACGGAGGCAGCAGUGGGGAAUAUUGGACAAUGGACCGAGAGUCUGAUCCAGCAAUUCUGUGUGCACGAUGAAGUUUUUCGGAAUGUAAAGUGCUUUCAGUUGGGAAGAAAAAAAUGACGGUACCAACAGAAGAAGUGACGGCUAAAUACGUGCCAGCAGCCGCGGUAAUACGUAUGUCACGAGCGUUAUCCGGAUUUAUUGGGCGUAAAGCGCGUCUAGGUGGUUAUGUAAGUCUGAUGUGAAAAUGCAGGGCUCAACUCUGUAUUGCGUUGGAAACUGUAUAACUAGAGUACUGGAGAGGUAAGCGGAACUACAAGUGUAGAGGUGAAAUUCGUAGAUAUUUGUAGGAAUGCCGAUGGGGAAGCCAGCUUACUGGACAGAUACUGACGCUAAAGCGCGAAAGCGUGGGUAGCAAACAGGAUUAGAUACCCUGGUAGUCCACGCUGUAAACGAUGAUUACUAGGUGUUGGGGGUCGAACCUCAGCGCCCAAGCAAACGCGAUAAGUAAUCCGCCUGGGGAGUACGUACGCAAGUAUGAAACUCAAAGGAAUUGACGGGGGCCCGCACAAG
rnacentral:rRNA from 1 species